rnacentral:rRNA from 1 species
AGCGUUAUCCGGAUUCACUGGGUUUAAAGGGUGCGUAGGUGGAUUAGUAAGUCAGUGGUGAAAUCUCCGGGCUUAACCCGGAAACUGCCAUUGAUACUAUUAGUCUUGAAUACCGUGGAGGUCAGCGGAAUAUGUCAUGUAGCGGUGAAAUGCUUAGAUAUGACAUAGAACACCAAUUGCGAAGGCAGCUGGCUACACGAGCAUUGACACUCAGGCACGAAAGCGUGGGGAUCAAACAGG